GAUGAACGCUGACAGAAUGCUUAACACAUGCAAGUCAACUUGAACUUCGGUUUGGGUGGCGGACGGGUGAGUAACGCGUAAAGAACUUGCCUCACAGCUAGGGACAACAUUUGGAAACGAAUGCUAAUACCUGAUAUUAUGAUUUUAGGGCAUCCUAGAAUUAUGAAAGCUAUAUGCGCUGUGAGAGAGCUUUGCGUCCCAUUAGCUAGUUGGAGAGGUAACGGCUCACCAAGGCGAUGAUGGGUAGCCGGCCUGAGAGGGUGAACGGCCACAAGGGGACUGAGACACGGCCCUUACUCCUACGGGAGGCAGACGUGGGGAAUAUUGGACAAUGGACCAAGAGUCUGAUCCAGCAAUUCUGUGUGCACGAUGAAGUUUUUCGGAAUGUAAAGUGCUUUCAGUUGGGAAGAAAAAAAUGACGGUACCAACAGAAGAAGUGACGGCUAAAUACGUG
rnacentral:rRNA from 1 species